GGGGCCCGCACAAGCGGUGGAGCAUGUGGUUUAAUUCGAAGCAACGCGAAGAACCUUACCAAGGCUUGACAUCCCGAUGACCGCUCUAGAGAUAGAGCUUCUCUUCGGAACAUCGGUGACAGGUGGUGCAUGGUUGUCGUCAGCUCGUGUCGUGAGAUGUUGGGUUAAGUCCCGCAACGAGCGCAACCCUUAUCUUCAGUAGCCAUCAUUGAGUUGGGCACUCUGGAGAGACUGCCGUGGAUAACACGGAGGAAGGUGGGGAUGACGUCAAAUCAUCAUGCCCCUUAUGUCUUGGGCUACACACGUGCUACAAUGGCUGG
rnacentral:rRNA from 1 species